AAAAAAAAAAAUUUACAUAGCAUUUUCGUUUUGAAAAUCAGUUUAGAUAGUUUGAAUGGCUAACUAAAAUAAAGUCUUGUUGGAGUACACAUUAGCUAGAGUUGUUUGGCAAAAUAGAGAGUGCAAUUUUUUGUGUGCUUAGGCAAAAUGCCUAGAAGUGUGAGUUUUUUCUUCUCUUUCUCCCUCACUUUUGCAAGGAACUAAACAGUACCUUUACCUCUUUCUACUUCUCAAUCACUCCGUAUUCAUGUAUAUACUGGUGUCUUAACCUAAUUGUUUUCCUGUGCUUUUUUGCAGUGAUGGAGGCAGAGAUAGUGGCGAAACCGCAGGCUGUGAAUCCAUGCUGUGUUGUGUUGAAAGAGAAAUACUCAAAGCUGGAAGCCUCACGGAAUGCUCUUCGACAAGGUGUAAAGAUCCAAAAUGAACUCAUUGAUAAACUUCAAAAGG